rnacentral:rRNA from 1 species
UAGAGUUUGAUCAUGGCUCAGAUUGAACGCUGGCGGCGUGCUUAACACAUGCAAGUCGAGCGGUAACAGGUGUAGCAAUACAUGCUGACGAGCGGCGAACGGGUGAGUAAUGCUUCGGAAUCUGCCCAGUAGUGGGGAAUAACCMGCCGMAAGGUUGGCUAAUACCGCAUACGAACUACGGUUGAAAGCGGGGGAUCGCAAGACCUCGCGCUAUUGGAUGAGCCGARGUCGGAUUAGCUAGUUGGUAGGGUAACGGCCUACCAAGGCGACAAUCCGUAGCUGGUYUGAGRGGACGACCAGCCACACUGGGASUGAGACACGGCCCMGACUCCUACGGGAGGCAGCAGUGGGGAAUAUUGGACAAUGGGGSCMACCCUGAUCCAGSGACGCCGCGUGUGUGAAGAAGGCCUGCGGGUUGUAAAGCACUUUUAGUGGGGAUGAAAAGCACAUCAUUAACACUGGUGUGUCUUGACCUAACCCRRAGAAAAAGCMCCGGCUAACUCUGUGCCAGCMGCCGCMGKAAUUC